rfam:Helianthus annuus linkage group 13, whole genome shotgun sequence.
GGUUGCGAUCAUACCAGCACUAAUGCACCGGAUACCAUCAGAACUCCGCAGUUAAGCAUGUUGGGGCGAGAGUAGUACUAGGAUGGCUGAUCCCCUUGGAAGUCCUCGUGUUGCAACAA